UACGUAGGGGGCGAGCGUUGUCCGGAUUCAUUGGGCGUAAAGAGCUCGUAGGCGGCUGUUCAAGUCGGUUGUGAAAACUCGGAGCUCAACUCCGAGCCUGCGUUCGAUACUGGACGGCUAGAGUCUGGUAGGGGGACCUGGAAUUCCUGGUGUAGCGGUGGAAUGCGCAGAUAUCAGGAGGAACACCGGUGGCGAAGGCGGGGUCCUGGGCCAGUACUGACGCUGAGGAGCGAAAGCGUGGGGAGCAAACAGG
rnacentral:rRNA from 1 species